AUUAGAACUAGCAGGAAUAUUUCCCCAGCUCAUUAUCCUUAGCAUGAUGUGUAAUCAGAUAGAGUGACAGCUCUUGGACUCUGCAAGGGAUGGCAAGAGACCGCCACCCAGCCAUCUUAUAAAGACACUGUAAGGGACAACAAGAGACUGCCAUCCAGCCAUCAUAUAAAGACACUGUAAGGGACAGCAGGAGACCGACACCUAGCCAUCAUAUAAAUACACUGUAAGGGACAGCAGGAGACCGCCACCCAGCCAUCAUAUAAAGACAUUGUAAGGGACAGCAAGAGACUGCCACCCAGUCGUCAUAUAAAGACACUGUAAGGGACAGCAAGAGACUGCCUCCCAGUCAUCAUAUAAAUACACUGUAAGGGACAACAAGAGACUGCCACCCAGCCAUCUUAUAAAGACACUGUAAGGGACAGCAAGAGACUGCCACCCAGUCGUCAUAUAAAGACACUGUAAGGGACAGCAAGAGACUGCCUCCCAGUCAUCAUAUAAAUACACUGUAAG